AUGGGCGGCACCCGCUCGAUUUACGAUAACACGAAACUGGUAACUGCAUUGUGGAAGGGAUAACGUUGCAGCUUGUAACGUUCACUUUAUCCUGUACAUACAAUGAUUUUGUAUUCUACCAGAGGAGGAUAGCUUGGUGAACGUGAGCUGGACAGAUAAGCCGACAUUUUGUAUUGCCGAGUCCCGAGCUUCGACCUGGGAUCUUCCGGAAGAAUCAGUUGAAGCUGCUAAACUCCAGCAAUGGUAAUUAAUAACGGAUGAACGUCGGUAGUGAAGGGGUCUGAGAAGAAAGAUGGCGACGCUGGCGCCAUUGACCUCGCGAUCUCUGCAUCAAGAAUCCUGAAACCGAAAGGCACGCGUCUUUCUCGGCAGUUCCGUUAUUUUUAUAUUAAUGCCAAUGUGACAGCAAUGGGACGGAAGGACGAGAAGCCUUAUUGGAGUACAGGCACGACCCACGGCUGUCUUGUAUCUAAGGAAAGUCUUUUAGGUAUAAGACGCCAAGCGUUGCUUAUAAUUCUUGAAAGACAGACGACUGAGAAUCCCAUGACAGGGAUCUGAUAGAGGAACACCAGCAUCCGUCUGGCAUGGGUCCACGACUCCGUGCUCUUGUAAUUUAUACGGCAUUGUUAUCCUGUCAAACGGUGACAUCUUCAUAGGAUGACUAUCCAAUAGUCGGCGACGCCUAUGCCGGCAGGAACCUUCCACCAGAGGACGAGGAUGCUUCUUCGUCACAUCUCGUGAAGCGUCUCUAUACUCCGUACCAGGAAACCGUAGUACAGUAAGGAAAGCUGGUGAGAUAGAAUUUUUGUUUCUUUAGAAAUACACUGUACACAAUACACAGCGUC